rnacentral:rRNA from 1 species
GCUUCGGCCUGGUGAAAGUGGCAGACGGGUGAGUAACGCGUGGGAACCUGCCCUGUGGUAGGGAAUAACCGUGGGAAACUGCGGCUAAUACCCUAUGAGUCCUUCGGGAGAAAGAUUUAUCGCCAUAGGAGGGGCCCGCGUCGGAUUAGGUAGCUGGUGGGGUAACGGCCUACCAAGCCUUCGAUCCGUAGCUGGUCUGAGAGGAUGAUCAGCCACACUGGGACUGAGAUACGGCCCAGACUCCUACGGGAGGCAGCAGUGGGGAAUAUUGGACAAUGGGGGCAACCCUGAUCCAGCCAUGCCGCGUGAGUGAAGAAGGCCUUAGGG